GGAUCAGCAUGCCACGGUGAAUACGUUCCCGGGCCUUGUACACACCGCCCGUCACACCAUGAGAGUUGGUUGUACCAGAAGUCGUUGGGCUAACCUUUUGGGAGUAGGCGCCUAAGGUAUGGCUGAUGAUUGGGGUGAAGUCGUAACAAGGUAGCCGUUGGGGAACCAGCGGCUGGAUCACCUCCUUUCUAAGGA
rnacentral:rRNA from 3 species